rnacentral:rRNA from 1 species
GACGAACGCUGGCGGCGUGCUUAACACAUGCAAGUCGAACGGAAAGGCCCUGCUUUUGUGGGGUGCUCGAGUGGCGAACGGGUGAGUAACACGUGAGUAACCUGCCCUUGACUUUGGGAUAACUUCAGGAAACUGGGGCUAAUACCGGAUAGGAGCUCCUGCUUCAUGGUGGGGGUUGGAAAGUUUCGGCGGUUGGGGAUGGACUCGCGGCUUAUCAGCUUGUUGGUGGGGUAGUGGCUUACCAAGGCUUUGACGGGUAGCCGGCCUGAGAGGGUGACCGGCCACAUUGGGACGGAGAUACGGCCCAGACUCCUACGGGAGGCAGCAGUGGGGAAUAUUGCACAAUGGGCGGAAGCCUGAUGCAGCAACGCCGCGUGCGGGAUGACGGCCUUCGGGUUGUAAACCGCUUUCGCCUGUGACGAAGCGUGAGUGACGGUAAUGGGUAAAGAAGCACCGGCUAACUACGUG